rnacentral:lncRNA from 1 species
AUGUCAGAUUUGCUCUAAAUGCUUUGGUUUUUGAGUUAUAAGCCAAAAACUGCAUUUUACCCCUAUGUUCUAUUUUUAGCCAUGGCAGCCAUCUUGGUUGGUUGGCGGGGUCACGCCACACAUUUUUUUAAACUAGAUACCCCAAUGAUGAUUGUGGCCAAGUUUGGUUAAAUUUGGCCCAGUAGUUCCAGAGGAGAAGAUUUUUGUAAAAGUUAACAACGACGACGGACGCAAAGUGAUGGGAAAAGCUCACUUGGCCCUUCGGGCCAGGUGAGCUAAAAA